rnacentral:rRNA from 1 species
GAUGAACGCUGGCGGCGUGCCUAAUACAUGCAAGUCGAGCGAACGGACGAGAAGCUUGCUUCUCUGAUGUUAGCGGCGGACGGGUGAGUAACACGUGGAUAACCUACCUAUAAGACUGGGAUAACUUCGGGAAACCGUAGCUAAUACCGGAUAAUAUUUUGAACCGCAUGGUUCAAAAGUGAAAGACGGUCUUGCUGUCACUUAUAGAUGGAUCCGCGCUGCGUUAGCUAGUUGGUAAGGUAACGGCUUACCAAGGCAACGAUGCAUAGCCGACCUGAGAGGGUGAUCGGCCACACUGGAACUGAGACACGGUCCAGACUCCUACGGGAGGCAGCAGUAGGGAAUCUUCCGCAAUGGGCGAAAGCCUGACGGAGCAACGCCGCGUGAGUGAUGAAGGUCUUCGGAUCGUAAAACUCUGUUAUUAGGGAAGAACAUAUGUGUAAGUAACUGUGCACAUCUUGACGGUACCUAAUCAGAAAGCCACGGCUAACUACGUG